CGCGUAGGCGGGUCGCCAAGUCUGGGGUGAAAUCUUUCGGCUUAACCGGGAAAAUAGCCCUGGAUACUGGCGAUCUCGAGGGUGGUAGGGGCAUAUGGAACUUCCGGUGGAGCGGUGAAAUGCGUUGAUAUCGGAAGGAACGCCGGUGGCGAAAGCGACGUGCUGGACCACUUCUGACGCUGAGGCGCGAAAGCCAGGGGAGCAAACGGGAUUAGAUACCCCGGUAGUCCUGGCCCUAAACGAUGGGUACUAGGUUGUGGACUAGACAUGGGUUCACAGCCGAAGCCAAAGUGCUAAGUACCCCGCCUGGGGAGUAUGGUCGCAAGGCUGAA
rnacentral:rRNA from 1 species